GCCCCAGUGGCGAAAUGGUAGACGCGGCAGACUCAAAAUCUGUUGCCGGCAACGGCGUGCUGGUUCGAGUCCGGCCUGGGGCACCA
rnacentral:tRNA from 1 species